rnacentral:snRNA from 1 species
GUGCUCACUUUGGAAGCACAUAUACUAAAAUUGGAACGAUACAGAGAAGAUUAACAUGGCCCCUGCGCAAGGA